rnacentral:rRNA from 1 species
UACGGAGGGUGCAAGCGUUGUCCGGAUUUAUUGGGUUUAAAGGGUGCGUAGGCGGCCUUAUAAGUCAGUGGUGAAAGCCCACAGCUCAACUGUGGAACUGCCAUUGAUACUGUAAGGCUUGAGUACAGACGAGGUAGGCGGAAUUGAUGGUGUAGCGGUGAAAUGCAUAGAUACCAUCAAGAACACCGAUUGCGUAGGCAGCUUACUAGGCUGUAACUGACGCUGAGGCACAAAAGCGUGGGGAGCGAACAGG